rnacentral:lncRNA from 1 species
AUAAAUUUCACACAGAGGCCAAAUAAGUUCUUACAGAAACACACUAUUCGUAUGCAAGAUCAAGAACAAUAAGAGGGGAAUAAGGAAUAGGAAGAACUAUAAGAGAGGAAUAACGAUAGGAAACAAGGUUCACUGACGACCAUCACAUCAGGGAAAGAGGCAUCAAAGAAGAUCGAGAAAUGGGGUAUCGAUCCCGAUCCCCGGUAGAGAGGUUUGACGGAGACGAGACGAAGAAGAUUGAUCAGAGCACACUCUUUAUAAGUAAGAACAAAAUCUAAGAGAGAAUCAAGAGGAGGCAAAGGUGGUUACCAGCGGUCGCCGUCAUCGCGAGAGAAGAAACGCCAAAGACGAUCAAGAAACGAAGGAUCAACCGGUAAGGCGAUGGGAUCGACUACUGCUUCUUAUGAUCUGAUCUCUGAUGGCGACGACGAACACGACCGUGGUUGUGGAGACGAAGGGAGGAGAUGGAGAACGGCGCAAAGCUUUCUACGGAAGAGGAGACAUGGCG